UACGUAGGUGGCAAGCGUUGUCCGGAAUUAUUGGGCGUAAAGCGCGCGCAGGCGGUCCUUUAAGUCUGAUGUGAAAGCCCACGGCUCAACCGUGGAGGGUCAUUGGAAACUGGGGGACUUGAGUACAGAAGAGAAGAGUGGAAUUCCACGUGUAGCGGUGAAAUGCGUAGAGAUGUGGAGGAACACCAGUGGCGAAGGCGACUCUUUGGUCUGUAACUGACGCUGAGGCGCGAAAGCCAGGGGAGCGAACGGG
rnacentral:rRNA from 1 species